GAUGAAGAACGUAGCGAAAUGCGAUAAGUAAUGUGAAUUGCAGAAUUCAGUGAAUCGUCGAAUCUUUGAACGCACAUUGCGCCCGCCAGUAUUCUGGCGGGCAUGCCUGUUCGAGCGUCAUUUCAACCAUCAAGCCCCCGGGCUUGUGUUGGGGACCUGCGGCUGCCGCAGGCCCUGAAAAGCAGUGGCGGGCUCGCUGUCACACCGAGCGUAGUAGAUUUUAUCUCGCUCUGGGCGUGCUGCGGGUUCCGGCCGUUAAACCACCCUUUUAACCCAAGGUUGACCUCGGAUCAGGUAGGAAGACCCGCUGAACUUAAGCAUAUCAAUAAGCGGAGGA
rnacentral:misc_RNA from 1 species